GACGAACGCUGGCGGCGUGCUUAACACAUGCAAGUCGAACGGAAAGGCCCUGCUUUUGUGGGGUGCUCGAGUGGCGAACGGGUGAGUAACACGUGAGUAACCUGCCCUUGACUUUGGGAUAACUUCAGGAAAAUGGGGCUAAUACCGGAUAGGAGCUCCUGCUGCAUGGGGGGGGGUGGAAAGUUUCGGCGGUUGGGGAUGGACUCGCGGCUUAUCAGCUUGUUGGUGGGGUAGUGGCUUACCAAGGCUUUGACGGGUAGCCGGCCUGAGAGGGUGACCGGCCACAUUGGGACUGAGAUACGGCCCAGACUCCUACGGGAGGCAGCAGUGGGGAAUAUUGCACAAUGGGCGGAAGCCUGAUGCAGCAACGCCGCGUGCGGGAUGACGGCCUUCGGGUUGUAAACCGCUUUCGCCUGUGACGAAGCGUGAGUGACGGUAAUGGGUAAAGAAGCACCGGCUAACUACGUG
rnacentral:rRNA from 1 species